rnacentral:rRNA from 1 species
UACGUAGGGUGCAAGCGUUGUCCGGAAUUAUUGGGCGUAAAGAGCUCGUAGGCGGUUUGUCACGUCGGAUGUGAAAACCCGAGGCUUAACCUCGGGCCUGCAUUCGAUACGGGCUGACUAGAGUUCGGUAGGGGAGACUGGAAUUCCUGGUGUAGCGGUGGAAUGCGCAGAUAUCAGGAGGAACACCGGUGGCGAAGGCGGGUCUCUGGGCCGAUACUGACGCUGAGGAGCGAAAGCGUGGGGAGCGAACAGG